UGCACAAGGUUCAUUUAUUCAAGAGCUGGUGACCCUGCUUGUCCAUUAGCACUCCUGUAUGCCAGGCUCUGGGAUGGUGACAAGAUCCGUCUUGGCAGGCUUGGGCGUUACUGUCCUCAUCUUACAACCUGAGGCUCAGAAUGGGGACGGCAACCUCCGAGGUCCCACAACCAGCAAAAGGCGAAGCCAGGAUUCCACCCCAGACUCUCCCUACUUGGCCCCUGGCACCCUGUCCCAUUUGUACUGGUCAGGAGGCUUCCUGUGACUUGAUGGGCUUCAGCCAUGACCUCAUAUGACAAGAAGUCCAGGGGUUAGGUGGCUUUUUGGUGACUUGGUGAUGGCAUCAGCACCGGGGGUCUCUCUAGCUCAUGGACCACCUUGGCCGUGCUGUUUUGCCCCCCCUCCCCACCUCGUACCCUGAGUGGCUCCUCCCAGCUUCCAGAUCACAGCUGUGGUCCAGACCCCAAACCUGGACAUGAUAACAUCCAGCAGAGAGCAUGCGGUCCCUGUUGUGUCUGUUUUCAAUGAGCCUUACCGCCACCCGCAGGACUGACUACCCCAAACCCUAGUGCUUCAAGGUGAUGGGAUUACUCUGGUUGGUGUCGAUUCCUCCGGUUUUACUUACCCUUGAGAGGAGACCGGGUCAAUGUCCCAGAGUUGCAGGUAACAGCUACAAUGAGAGCGGUUGGGGUUGUUGAUAGGAUGGCCUUGGGUGGGCAAGUCCAAGGCUGGGUCAGGAGCAGGACAGUGCCUGUAGCUAAGCGCCUGGUGCAGGGCCUGGUGGUCACAGUUGCUUGGUGAUCGAGAGUUGUUUGUUAUGAAUGAAUGAAUGAUGAAUAAAUGAAUGAAUCCCAGGUUGGUAAAGACAUGGGACUUUGGACCGAGAGGUGGGACGGGCACAUGGGGUCUCAGGGCAGCCAGGACUGAGUCCGCAGAGUAAGGUAGGACCCCGCUCCCUCCCGUGCAUUCUCAUUCUGGGCCAAUUUCCAGUUUCUGGAAUAGUUCCUGGAAUUGGGUAAGAGGCAUGAAGGAAGGAGAGACUCACCGGCAGUUUCCGUUCUCCGCACCCAUCUCUCAAGGAGCCUGGAUGCAGGAGGCAGACAGAAGGACACGAGUCACCGUGCUUCCCCGCCCCUUCGGGGGUGAGACUCACAAAGGGACAACCACAGGGGCAGGAGUGGAGCCAGCACAGAGCUGCCGACACGGAACACCUGGGGUGCCCACUCCCCCACUCCCCACCCCUCCCUGGGGCAUGGUAUUGCAUCUUCCAGCUGCAGAAACUGAAACUUGAGGAGCUCGUGCUCAGCCAGGCCUGCUUAUUGGAGCUCUAUGGCAUUUGCAGGCAGGCGGUGGAGAAGACACCCCUCCUUAGCCACCUCAUUGUGGCUGUCACUGUGGCUUGGGAGACCAGGGUAGCCUGCGGUGCCAGCAACUGGAAACGCAUCCCUCCUGGGUCAGCAGGCGUGCUGGCCAAGAAGAUCCAUCUCCCUUUCUCUCCAGCUCCUUGCUGGAGAAAGGACAGGGCAGCUGAAGUAGAAUGAAAACAUCAGUGCAGAGGAAUU